UGUACUGUUGGAGCUUGGACUCAGAGAGGAAUGGUAGAGGGUAAACCUUAGGAGGAACCAGUCACAGGAAAGAGCUCCUUCUGGAACUGUCAAACACUCGCUGAAACGCAGUGUACAACACGGGACUUCACGACCAGAGCUCCUUUUGGCAAGUCCUGUUUAUAUUCCAGAUGUGUUGUAGCUGGCUUAAGAGAGCAGAUGGAAGCCUCUGCCUCGAGGGCAGGUGAGGGGGCAGAGUGCCUCGCACAGACUCAGAGGGGCUAAGCUGCACUCCUGAAGAGCAGCACGAGAAGGGCAGGCUGGUCGUGAGUGGGGUUGGAGCAGGAUGGCCAAGUAGCACAAGGUGACUGCGAAGGGUAUCCAUCUUGCUUUGCAGGUGCAAUGGCAGGCUUUCCACAGAAGUGGCUGAGGAUUCGAGAAGAGGUUACAGAGCAUCAAGGAGCGGCACGUGCAGUGAUGGCUUCCAAAACGGUGAAGAGGUGCCUGAAGCCCCAUCCUGUCUAGCCUGCGCACACGUCGCUAAGAAUGAAAGCUGCUUUCCAGAAUGGUCCAGCAAUUCGUGCCACUAAGGGAUUUGAAGGGUUAACAUUGAGGCCUGGGUUUAGGUGAUAAGAGAACAAAGGGAUUUCUUUAGAGAAAAAACUGCUGACUCUGCACGGACGUGCAGUAACUUCUGACAUCCGGCCAAGAGACCACCAGAUAAGGAGGAAGAAUAUGAGCCUCCCGUCCGAGCGGCCCCCAAGAGACUACCAGAGACUGAUAAGCAGGCGCCCUUGGGAGGACUUUGGAUUCGGGAAACCAAUUAUAAUAACCCUGCCUCUUUUUAAAGUAGUAAUAAAUAUGAAGUAGCCUAGGAGUAUAAAAAAUCAGCCGUCUUACGUAACGGGUAUGCGUCUUGGCGGAGCAGAGACUCCCAGCGCACCCAGCGCUGUUUGCUUGCCUCUAUUCGUUUAAUAAACUAAACUUUGAUUGCA